rnacentral:rRNA from 1 species
UACGUAGGUGGCAAGCGUUGUCCGGAAUUAUUGGGCGUAAAGGGCUCGCAGGCGGUUCCUUAAGUCUGAUGUGAAAGCCCCCGGCUCAACCGGGGAGGGUCAUUGGAAACUGGGGAACUUGAGUGCAGAAGAGGAGAGUGGAAUUCCACGUGUAGCGGUGAAAUGCGUAGAGAUGUGGAGGAACACCAGUGGCGAAGGCGACUCUCUGGUCUGUAACUGACGCUGAGGAGCGAAAGCGUGGGGAGCGA